rnacentral:rRNA from 1 species
AGAAUCAACGCUGGCGGCGUGCCUCAGACAUGCAAGUCGAACGAUUAAAGCUCUCUUCGGAGAGUGUAUAGAGUGGCGCACGGGUGAGUAACACGUAAGUAAUCUACCUUCGAGUGGGGAAUAACGUCCGGAAACGGACGCUAAUACCGCAUAAUGCAGCGGCAUCGCAAGAUGACAGUUGUUAAAGAUUUUAUCGCUUGAAGAGGAGCUUGCGGCAGAUUAGCUAGUUGGUAAGGUAAUGGCUUACCAAGGCUACGAUCUGUAACCGGUCUAAGAGGACGGUCGGUCACACUGACACUGAAUAACGGGUCAGACUCCUACGGGAGGCAGCAGUCGGGAAUUU